AUGUUUCCGCAGCCACAGCCCUGUGCGGCUCACAGUCUCAAAUACUUCCCCACCACGGUGGACCAUACCUUCAAACUGUAAGUCAGACCGAGUCCAUCCUCACUUUAGAUGCUUCCUGUCCUGUUCCUGAUUUAAACAAUGAGAAAAGCAACUGAUACACAUUCAAAGAAGAGCAAAUGGAGAAUCACAUGUGCAUAUUCUGUUCUGCGUACCUACUGUAUCUAUUUGCUUUGUAAAUUAAUAUUUUAUUAACUAUUUGUGAAUUUCAUGAUGCAUUUUUAUUAUGUAUUCUUCCUCCUCGGUUUAUUUAUUCAUAAUUUUUAUUUUUCACGUGUAUGAGCAUUUUGCUUUUAUCUAUGUUUAUGCACCACAUACCCUCCUGAUGCCCACAAAGGACAGAAGAAAACAUUGGAGCUCAUGAAAUAGAGUCACGGAUUGUUGUGAGUCACUAUGUGUGUACUGGGAACCAAGUCUGGGUUUUCUGCAAGAGCAGCCAGUGCUCUUAACCACUGAGCCAUCUUUCCACCCCAAGCCAUUUUCUUUUUGAUGCAUCAUUAACAUGGGCAGGCCUAUUGUUCUCCAUAUGAAUUAUUUAAGCUAAGGUAAGAUUGGAUUGAAGUAUAGACUAUAGCAAGAGAAGGAGGGCUCUCCUGGCAUCAAAAGCUCCUGUGUGUUCACUGAGAGCUGCUAAUAUUUGCCUCAAUAUUCCCUAAUACAUUUUCUAGGUGAUCUGAAUCCAUUGUUUCUUGUUCAGUAUUCAAAGACAUUUUUCCUCAAUUAGCUAAUUAAAAAAAUAUUCAAGAGGGCACAGAUAUGUUUAUGAUGGUGUUAAAUGCAGAAACAAAAGGCCUCUCAGAAAGGAAAAUGGGAGGUAUUUAUUAAAUGAAUUCACAAGAUUCUUCAGGGCUUCACUUUAUUCUAAGAACAAAGUGUCAUUACAUUCUGAGUUUACAACACCGUAUAAACCAUCUUGGUAAACACUGAGGAUGGGGUCUAUAUGGUAGAUAUCUUCAGCUUCAUUAACACAUCAGAGUGUUUCCCAGUCCAGAAUGUCAGUGUGUGCUCCUGGUUACUGGAACCUGUUCCUUUUUGCUGUGCUACAAUUAUAAGCUCCAUCAUAACUCCUUAGUCAUGUAUUUAUUUUCCUGGAUAGAUUGCAAACUCUAUGAAAACAUAUUCUUCCAUCAUCAUAUCUCCAGUAUCUAGCAUAGCCUGAGUUGAAGAUCGUGCCCUAAAAUACCAGUGAAGCAGGAAUAUGACCCAUUUUAUAAAGUGGUCUUCAAUCAACAAAAGCUCACAAUAGCAGUUAUGUAGAGGCCUCAUUAACAGAGGCGUGGUCUCAGAAUAUGGUGGCUUCUCAACUCCCAUAUUUUCCAAGAACUGAACAUCUAUUUCCCACAUGUUCUAGAUCUCCUGGUUUUUCAUACUAUGAGUGAUGUCUUAGAUACAAAGGAGAGCAAGAAGCACCCCAAGUCUUACUUCUUAAGAAUAGAAGUGACUUAAAUACAGUUAAGUUUCUCACACUAGCAUUGUAAUAGCUUCUUGCCCAAACAACCAGGAAGGGCAGUUGAAGUUAAGUGAUUUGUUCCCUGUGGUUGAUGGUUGUCAAUAAGUACUGUGCCUAGCAUCUCUAGGUAUUUUAUGACUGUUCCACAUAGCCACACCACUUACUUUUUACUUCAAUACUUCAAUUCCUUUUUAUUUUUGCACAUGUAUGUGUAUAUAUACAUACAUAUGUGUUUUUGUGUGUGUGCGCGCAUAUCUGUGUAGAGGCCUGAAGUUGAUAUCAAGAAUCUUUGCUUAUCAUUUUCCUCUUUCAUUCGUUGAGAUAGAGUCUCUUGCUGAACCCAAGCUCAUACAUUCCUGCUGUAGUAGCUUGACACUUACUCCAGGAUUCCUGUGGCUACUUCCCACGUGCUGGCAGCCGUCCCAUCCACAGAGCGCUCACAUGAGUACUGGGGAUUUGAACUCUGUUGUUCACAUUUGCAGGCGCUUUACCCACUGAGCCAGCUCCCAAGCUUUCCUGCCCCCCAUUUCUUGGCACAUUUACCAAUUGCAGAAGUCAUACAUAGACCAUAACUAGAAGGAAGGGAGAUGUUAUACUUUGUAAGGGUAAUAGAGGGUAGCAAAGAUGUUCUUGAAUAUGGCCAGCCACUUAGCACAUCAUCAGUCUGUGUUAGGAGAUUCCUGAUGGCUAUACUCCCACUGGCCCUUUGCCUUGCAUGUGUUUAACUUUUACAUGAAUGAAACUGUUGUUGAUGUAUUGUUCCUUCUUACAAAAGUAUCAAGCUCCUCCCUCUACAGCUCCAUGUUUUUAUUCCAUGCCAAAAAUGUUCCAAGUACACACACACACAUACACACACACACAGAUUCCACACAAUACAAAUUGUUCUAAAGCUUGCCUUUUCCAAUUUAUUUUUUUUCAUUGACUAACAGUUUGCUGUAAAGUCUAAUUUAAACAAAUUUCAUUUAGGCUGUUUCGAAGUUUUACUUCCAGUUGGAUAACUCCGUCUCCGUCUCUCUUUGCUCAUUUAUACAAGUAUAUGAGAAGAGGAAAAUUCCCUAGUGUAAAACCACACAAUCAAAGAGGAGUGUACAAAUUAAAUUAUACAGUUUUUAAACUCUCCUCAAAACGUGGUACUGAUGUUACCAACCAUAGUAUAUGUGAACACCUUCCUGUUCAUCUCCAACAAGCGUCCUCCUAAGGUAUAUGUUAUUGAC
rnacentral:lncRNA from 1 species